CCUCAGUCCAGUUCUGAAAAUGAGGUGCCCUGCUCAGCUCCUGGGCCUGCUACUGUUCUGGAUCCCUGGUUCCAGUGGGGAUGUUGCAUUAACCCAGUCUCCACUCUCCCUGCCCACCACUCCUGGAGAGCCAGCCUCCAUCUCCUGCAAGUCCAGUCAGAGCCUCUUGCAUAGUAAUGGAAACACCUAUUUGUAUUGGUACCUGCAGAAGCCAGGCCAGUCUCCACAGCUACUGAUCUAUUUAGUUUCUAAUCAGUUUUCUGGGAUCCCAAACAGGUUCAGUGGCAGUGGAUCAGGGACAGACUUUACACUGAAAAUCAGUAGGGUGGAGGCUGAGGAUGUUGGAGUUUAUUACUGUAUGCAAGCUCUACAUACUUGGAAAAUUGAUUACUGGCAUCAGA